CGCACACGCCACAGUCGGGUACGUGUACGCGGGGGCCCUCUCACCCAUCGUGACGCCGAUGCGCGUCUGCAGCUACCGUUGCGCUUCUUUCACUGUCACUCUUGUCACAGGCACGGCUGAGGUGGCGCACUGAUGCCUUGACCAUGGCAACGGCCUCAGUCUUUUCAGAGCCAGCAGGAACGCCCGUGGACUCCCGUGGCGGGCAGCCAUCUAAAGAACCCCACAAGGCUGGUUCCGUCACUGAACAGUACAGGUCUUGGGGUCAGGGUCCUGAAGCUGCAGAGAACAUGGAACUGGAGGACACCUGCUGACUUCCAGCGCAAGCAUCAAGUUCACUUCUCCCGCCGCCUCUUCCAGUGCGCCACCCAAUCGGCAUGCUCCUUCAGUUGCCUUUAGGCCCCGCCCACAGCGGCCUUUUGUUUGGAAAUAUUUAAUAAAGACGUCUGUUCGUCGUUUGUAUAAUCAAUUUUAUAAGCAAGUGAAUUUGACAUUAAAAUGACUUAAUGACUAUGCAAGAAAUGUUUUUGUUUUGUUUUACACAAGUCAGUCAAAAUAUUACAAA